UAAUUGGCACACUCUGUGUAAUUCACUCAGUAACCGAAAUGAGACCAAGCCGAAUUCACUCGAAAACAGAAUCAACAGCAGUAAUGCGCCGCAGCGCUUAUACUUGGACUCACAG
rnacentral:lncRNA from 1 species